rnacentral:rRNA from 1 species
UUACAAUAGUCAAAACUUUCAACAACGGAUCUCUUGGUUCUCGCAUCGAUGAAGAACGCAGCGAAAUGCGAUACGUAAUAUGAAUUCCAGAUUUUCGUGAAUCAUCGAAUCUUUGAACGCACAUGCCCCUUUGGUAUUCCAAAGGGCAUGCCUGUUUGAGCGUCAUUUCUCCCUCAAACCCCCGGGUUUGGUGUUGAGCAAUACGCUAGGUUUGUUUGAAAAAUUUAACGGGAAACUUAUUUUGAAGGACUUAGGUUUAUCCAAAAACGCUUAUUUUGCUAGGGCCACCACAAUUUAUUUCAUAACUUGACCUCAAUCAGGUANGACU